rnacentral:lncRNA from 10 species
AAACAGAUAAAGAAUAUUGGUCACCAAAAGGAGUUCUUUUCAUCAUAGAUCUCUGAAGGUAGACACCUAUUUGCAGACUUCUCAAAGGGCUAUAUGGAUGUGCUCUACUUGUUGGAGGAUUGUCCAUCCACUCUUCUUCCUGUACUUACCAGGACAGAACAGCCGCAACUUCUCAGACAGUUCAUUCUUCUUUUCCUCACCUACUACCAUCUAAGAAAGGUACUUGAUGACUGUGGCUUUAGACAAGAGUCCUUUUCUUACCACAGGGUGGGCAGCACCAGCUCAUUAGAACCAUUUGUGUGACUGACUGAAGACAGCUCACCUUGGAACACUGCAGGUUGAAGAUCAUCUCUUCUUUUUUUCAUGGUGUUAAGCAUAAUAUGGCGUAAGUGACAUUUUACAAGUUCCAGAGCCUGGGACUCAAGAUGUCUUGGAGAUUCUGUCUUUGCAGUCUUAUAAUGAUGCCCUGAGAUCAUCAUUAAAGAAAGCCAGUCUGGCCUACUGAGGAUGAGAAGCUACAUAAAGGAGAAUGAAGAUUCCCCAGCCAACAGGCAAUAUCAGUGGUCAGAUAUGUGAAUAAAGCCAUGUUGAACCUCUCGGCUAGACGACCCUCCAGCAUAUGAAACCAGCAGAUGAAUAUCCCAGCCUGCCUGAAGAACUGUACAGGAAAUAAGAAAUCAUUGUUUUUUAAGCCACUGGGUUGGUGGGUGGUUUGUUACAUUGAAAUUGUUAACUAAAACAGAAAUUGGUGCAUAGAGGUCAGGUGCUGUCAUAAUAAAAAUCUAAAACAUAUACUGUUGGCUUUGGUGAUGGGAGUGAUUGGUAGCUAAAGAGGCAGUGAAACAAUGAUUAGUAGAUACUGGGAAGUUAAUAAGGAAAUUUCUAUUGGAGGGUGGAGAAAGGGCCACCCUUGUUAUAUAGUGGCCAAAGAAUCAGCAAAAUGUUGCCUGCUGCAACCUGGAAAGUAGAAACUUUUCUUAAACUCACGGAUCUGGCUGGGAGAUUUCCAGGAUGCAUGCAACAAAUGUGAAUCAACUUUGUAUAGCUGUGUAUAAUAAAGUGUGCUGUAUUUGUCCAUUCUGAUGCUGCUAAUAAAGACAUACCUGAGACUGAA